UAACUCCAACCCAAUGGUGAACGUUACCAAACUGGUUGCCUCGGCGGGAUCUCUGCCCCGGGCGCGUCGCAGCCCCGGACCAAGGCGCCCGCCGGAGGACCAACCAAAACUCUUAUUGUAUACCCCCUCGCGGGUUUUUUACUAUCUGAGCCAUCUCGGCGCCCCUCGUGGGCGUUUCGAAAAUGAAUCAAAACUUUCAACAACGGAUCUCUUGGUUCUGGCAUCGAUGAAGAACGCAGCGAAAUGCGAUAAGUAAUGUGAAUUGCAGAAUUCAGUGAAUCAUCGAAUCUUUGAACGCACAUUGCGCCCGCCAGUAUUCUGGCGGGCAUGCCUGUCCGAGCGUCAUUUCAACCCUCGAACCCCUCCGGGGGGUCGGCGUUGGGGAUCGGCCCUUUACGGGGCCGGCCCCGAAAUACAGUGGCGGUCUCGCCGCAGCCUCUCCUGCGCAGUAGUUUGCACACUCGCAUCGGGAGCGCGGCGCGUCCACAGCCGUUAAACACCCCAAACUUCUGAAAUGUUGACCUCGGAUCAGGUAGGAAUACCCGCUGAACUUAAGCAUAUC
rnacentral:rRNA from 1 species